UGCCAGACUCCUACGGGAGGCAGCAGUGGGGAAUAUUGCACAAUGGGGGAAACCCUGAUGCAGCGACGCCGCGUGGGUGACGAAGUAUUUCGGUAUGUAAAGCCCUAUCAGCAGGGAAGAAGAUGACAGUACCUGACUAAGAAGCCCCGGCUAACUACGUGCCAGCAGCCGCGGUAAUACGUAGGGGGCAAGCGUUAUCCGGAUUUACUGGGUGUAAAGGGAGCGUAGGUGGCAUGGCAAGCCAGAAGUGAAAACCCGGGGCUUAACCCCGCGGAUUGCUUUUGGAACUGUCAGGCUGGAGUGCAGGAGGGGCAGGCGGAAUUCCUGGUGUAGCGGUGAAAUGCGUAGAUAUUAGGAGGAACACCAGUGGCGAAGGCGGCUUACUGGACUGUAACUGACGUUGAGGCUCGAAAGCGUGGGGAGCAAACAGGAUUAGAUACCCUGGUAAU
rnacentral:rRNA from 1 species